UAGGGAAUCUUCGGCAAUGGACGGAAGUCUGACCGAGCAACGCCGCGUGAGUGAAGAAGGUUUUCGGAUCGUAAAGCUCUGUUGUAAGAGAAGAACGAGUGUGAGAGUGGAAAGUUCACACUGUGACGGUAUCUUACCAGAAAGGGACGGCUAACUACGUGCCAGCAGCCGCGGUAAUACGUAGGUCCCGAGCGUUGUCCGGAUUUAUUGGGCGUAAAGCGAGCGCAGGCGGUUAGAUAAGUCUGAAGUUAAAGGCUGUGGCUUAACCAUAGUACGCUUUGGAAACUGUUUAACUUGAGUGCAAGAGGGGAGAGUGGAAUUCCAUGUGUAGCGGUGAAAUGCGUAGAUAUAUGGAGGAACACCGGUGGCGAAAGCGGCUCUCUGGCUUGUAACUGACGCUGAGGCUCGAAAGCGUGGGGAGCAAACAGGAUUAGAUACCCUGGUAGUCCACGCCGUAAACGAUGAGUGCUAGGUGUUAGACCCUUUCCGGGGUUUAGUGNCGUAGCUAACGCGUUAAAUCGACCGCCUGGGGAGUACGGCCGCAAGGUUA
rnacentral:rRNA from 1 species